AGAAGAUUCAGUUUUACAUCUAUUUCAAUGUUGUCCCUAUGCCAAAGGAUUGUGGUAUGCUGGUAGAUGGGGUUUUCGAGUAGAAACGAUCAAAGCUCAAUCUAUAAAGGAAUUCGUUGAACAUAUAAUUGAUCCCCCAAAGGAAUUACUGGCAGAAAGAGUGAACAAAGAUGAAUUCACACUAUAUGCAGUAUUGGCUAUGAAUAUUCUUUUGGAUGCACGGGAGGAUGCUCUGUUUUCAAACACUAAAGACAGCAUAAACCAGCUAGCACAUCGUCUUAACAAUCAGUAUGACUCUUACGUGAGAUCAUUUGAAGAGCAAAACAGGGAAAGUGCUUGGAUCAAGCCACCUGACCAAUGGGUAAAGCUUAAUUCUGAUGGGUCAUAUGAUCAAAAGAAUGUAGGCUUGGCUGCGAUUCUCAAAGAUGAACAUGGGAAUGGCAGAGCAAUCAGACGUGGCAUAAACAUCAACGGCAAGAUGGGCAAUGCCAUUGGCCAAACAGGACAGACUUGAGCAAGUUGUGAUAGAGAGUAUAAAGAGAAUCUAUGCUUAGCCAACUGCUCUCCAGAAAAUGGAAUUUACUUGAAGAGCCAACCAAUCGAUCAACAGGAAGGUGCAAAUCCAAAUGCGAGCACCCCAUUGCUCCUAAUCCAGCCUCUCAAUACUGGAAAACUGCUUCAAAAACUCCGUCACUAGUUGACUGACUAUGAAGAACUAUAUUUCAAGAAGCUAAGAUGUGGGUUUCGAUUUGAUUCUGUGCUUUGAAUAACCCAAAAGGAGAACUUAAAAGAAAAAUGUUAACAAGGGGAAUGGCUGAUAAGAAAAGAUGAAAGCUCUUAACAAGUGAGUGGAAAGGAAAAGACAAGCUUCAUCUUCAAUACAAGUACCUGAUUGCCUCACAGAAUUGGCUUAAUAAAGCUUCAUCUUCAAUACAAGUACCUGAUUGCCUCACAGAAUUGGCUUAGGCCAUUGGGGAUGAUAAUUUGAUAAAACAGUCUCCUUAAACAAGCCCUGUCAAAGGUGAUCGUCCACAAGUUAGCUUUGAAGUGGCCUGGUCUCAGGAUUCUUACUGCCUGGCCAAGGCAUGUAUAGCUUAGUGGGGGGAAAUUGAAGAGCAAAACAGGGGAAGUGCUUGGAUCAAGCCACAUGAUCAAUGGGUAAAGCUUAAUUUUGAUGCGUCAUGUGAUCAAAAGAUCAAGAGGGGAAUGGGAGAGAAAUCAGACGUGGCAUAAAAAUCAAUGGCAAGAUGGGCAAUGCCAAUGACCAAACAGGACAGACUUGAGCAAGUUGUGAUAGAGAGUAUAAAGGAAGCAGAGAAUCUUUGCUUUGCCAACUGCUCUCUAGAAGCUGGAAUACACUUGAAGAGCGUACAAUUGGUCAACAAAAAGAUGCAAGUCCAAAUGGAAGCACCCCAUUGCCCCCAAUUUAGCCUCUCAACACUGGCAAACUGCUUCAGAAACUUCACCAUCACCAGUUAACGGACUAUGAAUAGAUGAAUGCUCUUAGCAAGUGAGUGAAAAGACAAAGACAGCUUCAAUUUCAAUACAAGUACCUGAUUGCCCUCACAGUUUGGCAUAGACCAUUGAGAUUGUUAUGUCUGACAUAGUGUUUCACAAGCAAGGAGAUCCCGGGGCAACACAUUAUCAUCCAUCAUGCAUUUCAGAGAAUAAGCCAAAGUAGAGUAAAAGCCCGCAGCAUACCUAAAAUUGCCACCACCACAAUUGUGACUAAUGGAGAGACAAUACCAACAGGUGCAUUGAAAUAUGUUAGUGCUGAAAAUCCCUAAUUAUGUCCACCAUGAUGUCUCUACUUUUCAAAUUUCAUGGAUUGCUUGAAGUUAUGGACAGCAAAAACAGCAGCAACCAGAUUGUCAGCAACAAUAAUACUCCCACCAUGGUACUACCCAUCUUUCCAGCCAUGCUGUUUGAGUACCAAAGGCCAAGAGACUGAGAGAGUAUAGCACAGCCCAUAAGUACAAUAACAAGAGUGCCCUAAUCUGCUUCAAAGACAUAACUGUUAAAGCCUUUUUGCAUGUGCCUUUUGGUACUUAUUGGCACCGACAUACUAUUAUGGCAAUAGAUUAUGAUUGAAAUUUUUUUGUAGUGUUUGCUCUAUUUUCAAAAAAUCUAGUACUUCCUUUAUUUGUGAGGUCUGAGAAUGGGUCAAUAUUUAACACCUAUUUUGGAGGCAGUGUUUGCAAUCCGGCCACUUGCUCAGCAAAACCAACCUAAGCUCGCCAAUAGAAUAGUUAUAUUUCUGUUAAUGAAGUUCACAGUUGAAAGAGUUAUAUGUUGUUAAAGUUGAAGAUAGUUGUGCAGUUGCAAUCCUGCCUCUUCUUGUGCAUAAUUGAAUUGGCAAAGAUGUAAAAAUGUCUGUAUGUAAUUCAUUCAUUCAAAUAAUGCAAAUUAUUCCAAUUUCCUCA